rnacentral:misc_RNA from 1 species
GAUGAAGAACGUAGCGAAAUGCGAUAAGUAAUGUGAAUUGCAGAAUUCAGUGAAUCAUCGAAUCUUUGAACGCACAUUGCGCCCGCCAGUAUUCUGGCGGGCAUGCCUGUCUGAGCGUCAUUUCAACCCUCAUGCCCCUAGGGCGUGGUGUUGGGGAUCGGCCAAAGCCCGCGAGGGACGGCCGGCCCCUAAAUCUAGUGGCGGACCCGUCGUGGCCUCCUCUGCGAAGUAGUGAUAUUCCGCAUCGGAGAGCGACGAGCCCCUGCCGUUAAACCCCCAACUUUCCAAGGUUGACCUCAGAUCAGGUAGGAAUAUCCGCUGAACUUAAGCAUAUCAAUAAGCGGAGGA